GACGAACGCUGGCGGCGUGCUUAACACAUGCAAGUCGAACGGAAAGGCCCUGCUUUUGUGGGGUGCUCGAGUGGCGAUCGGGUGAGUAACACGUGAGUAACCUGCCCUUGACUUUGGGAUAACUUCAGGAAACUGGGGCUAAUACCGGAUAGGAGCUCCUGCUGCAUGGUGGGGGUUGGAAAGUUUCGGCGGUUGGGGAUGGACUCGCGGCUUAUCAGCUUGUUGGUGGGGUAGUGGCUUACCAAGGCUUUGACGGGUAGCCGGCCUGAGAGGGUGACCGGCCACAUGGGGACUGAGAUACGGCCCAGACUCCUACGGGAGGCAGCAGUGGGGAAUAUUGCACAAUGGGCGGAAGCCUGAUGCAGCAACGCCGCGUGCGGGAUGACGGCCUUCGGGUUGUAAACCGCUUUCGCCUGUGACGAAGCGUGAGUGACGGUAAUGGGUAAAGAAGCACCGGCUAACUACGU
rnacentral:rRNA from 1 species